GAUGAACGCUGGCGGCGUGCCUAAUACAUGCAAGUCGAGCGAACAGAUCAGGAGCUUGCUCCUUUGAAGUUAGCGGCGGACGGGUGAGUAACACGUGGGUAACCUACCUAUAAGACUGGGAUAACUUCGGGAAACCGGAGCUAAUACCGGAUAACAUUUAGAACCGCAUGGUUCUAAAGUGAAAGAUGGUUUUUCUAUCACUUAUAGAUGGACCCGCGCCGUAUUAGCUAGUUGGUAAUGUACCGGCUUACCAAGGCGACGAUACGUAGCCGACCUGAGAGGGUGAUCGGCCACACUGGAACUGAGACACGGUCCAGACUCCUACGGGAGGCAGCAGUAGGGAAUCUUCCGCAAUGGGCGAAAGCCUGACGGAGCAACGCCGCGUGAGUGAUGAAGGGUUUCGGCUCGUAAAACUCUGUUAUUAGGGAAGAACAAAUGUGUAAGUAACUGUGCACAUCUUGACGGUACCUUAUCAGAAAGCCACGGCUAACUACGUG
rnacentral:rRNA from 1 species